rnacentral:rRNA from 1 species
CUUCGGCUUUUCCACACACCCCCGUCCGUGACAAGCCUCCUCGCUCGGGUACAUAACGGGAAUCGGUCAAACGGAGUGUGGUCGGGAGUUGAGGUGCGUGGUUUUUGUUGCGUGCUCCUUCUUUUGGCUGCGUCAAGCUCCAUCGGUUUCACGGUCACCUUGAGUAAAUCAGAGUGCUCAAAGCAGUCGUAGGGGCCUUGCGCCCUGUGAACAGUCUUGACGGACUGACUUGGUUUUGCAUGGCAUGUCGGAAGACGACGUCGUGUGCUGGCUCAGAGGAUAAAUCAGUGGUACAAGCCAGCCUCGACGUAAUGAUUAAAAGGGACGGUCGAGGGCAUUGGUAUUGCGAGGCGAGAGGUGAAAUUCUGUGACCCCCGCAAGACCUCCUGAAGCGAAAGCGUCUGCCAAGGACGUUUUCAUUAAUCAUGAACGAAAGUUAGAGGAUCGAAGGCGAUCAGAUACCGCCCUAGUUCUAACCCUAAACGAUGCCAACCAUCAAUCCGCGCGUAGCACCCUUCUUAACGGGCUCGGCGGGCAGCUCCCCACUCACGGGAAACCAGAGCCUCUGGGUUCCGGGGGGAGUCUGGUUGCAAAGCUGAAACUUAAAGGAAUUGACGGAAAGGCACCACCAGGCGUGGAGCCUGCGGCUUAAUUUGACCCAACACGGGCCAUCUCACCAGGCCAGCACUCUUGUACGAUUGACAGAUUGAGAGCUCUUUCUCGAUUCAGUGGAUGGUGGUGCAUGGCCGUUCUUAGUUGGUGGAGUGAUCUGUCUGGUUAAUUCCGAUAACGAACGAGACUCUCCCCUGCUAACUAGUCGGUUGGAUCUUGAUCAGCGGGUUGCGUGCCGAGUAACUCUCGCUGCGCGUGUGGUGCGUCGCUUGCUCUCGGGCUUGUGGCGUGUCCGUGCGUGUGGUGUUGGAUGCCUUGGAUCACACUGCACCCCAAGUCCGCCGCUUAUGCUAUAACUCUUCUUAGAGGGAUUCACGGCACUGAAGCCGUAAGAGACUGAGAGCAAUAACAGGUCUGUGAUGCCCUUAGAUGCUCUGGGCCGCACGCGCGCUACAAUGCCGGGCACAGCAGGUGUUUCUCCUGCUCCGACAGGAGCGGGUAACCCUCUGAAAGCCAGUGUUCUUGCAAGUGCUUCCUCCCUCGUGGAGUUGCACAGAGGCGUGCUUGGGCCUGGGACUUGCAAUUCUUUCCCACCAACGAGGAAUGCCUAGUAGCGGCGGGUCACUGAGCCCGCUGUGACUCAGUCCCUGCCCUUUGUACACACCGCCCGUCGCUACUACCGAUUGGGUGUACCAGUGAGAGCCUUGGACUGGCGUCCGUUGUUGCUCGCAAGAGUGACAAGCGGGUCCGACGGAAAGAGGUCCGAACUGGUGCACUUAGAGGAAGUAAAAGUCGUAACAAGGUUUCCGUAGGUGAACCUGCGGAAG